CAAUUCUGGGGCCGGUGACAAAAACCGUCCGGGCGAAAAGCAGGCGCUUCAAGUGGAGGCUAAAACACGGUCCUCUCACAUUCCAUUGCGUAGCAAGGGGGGAUUUAGGGAGACUUAUUUCCUUAAAACUGUCCUCCCAUCCACAGAGCGCCCAGUCUGCUCUGAUCAAGUUGAUAUAGAAAAAUUCAGCCAGGGUAUAGGGAAUACUACACGAGGCGGACUAACCGAAGAUUUGGCCCUUAUAUAUUAUUACAGAUAUAAUACUAAUUCCUGGUGGUGUAUUUUUAAAAAAAGUUAAUAGAUUUAAAUAUCAGCCAUGUUAAGACAUGCUGUUGUGGCUGGAACACAUCGACAGAGACAAUACCAUCCCUGCAGGAGUUUGGUGACAUCCGACUUAUUUCAGUGGAUGCAUUUUUACUGCACCCUUGAAUUGACUGGAGAACUCAGUCGGCCUCUUACACUUCAGGAGAAAAUCAACGCCAACUGUUUUUAUCUCUCAAAGACUUUGAUGAAUGGAAAUCGUCGGGGAUGA
rnacentral:lncRNA from 1 species